GCCAGUUUUCCAUUAGAAAUCUAACCCUAAUCCCCCUUCUCACGUUAUCCAAACAAACCUGGUGUGCCACAUUCCUCCUGUCUGUGUUACAGUGGAAGAACAGUCCCAGGAAAGCUUAAGCAUGAUGUGAAAAGAAGCAAGACACUGGAGAGGGGAAAGUUGGAGGUGAUCAGCGUUGGAAAAAGCUGGCAUGGACUUAAGUACAGCGUGAGACCUACGGGCCAGCAAUCCAUCUGAGGCUAAGUGGAAACCAGGAGUGAUUGCUUACAACGCCAUAAAUAGCUAAAUCACCACUUUCAAAAGCAAAUAGGGAUAUGUGAAUUAAAAGCAAACUCUCCA
rnacentral:lncRNA from 1 species